UACGUAGGGGGCAAGCGUUGUCCGGAUUUAUUGGGCGUAAAACGCUCGUAGGUGGCCACGCCAAGUCGGAUGUGAAAUCUCCCGGCUCAACUGGGAGGGGUCAUUCGAUACUGGCGGGCUCGAGGCCGGUAGGGGGAAGCGGAAUUCCCGGUGUAGUGGUGGAAUGCGUAGAUAUCGGGAGGAACACCAGUGGCGAAGGCGGCUUCCUGGACCGGUUCUGACACUGAGGAGCGAAAGCGUGGGGA
rnacentral:rRNA from 1 species